UAGGGAAUCUUCGGCAAUGGACGAAAGUCUGACCGAGCAACGCCGCGUGAGUGAAGAAGGUUUUCGGAUCGUAAAACUCUGUUGUUAGAGAAGAACAAGGACGUUAGUAACUGAACGUCCCCUGACGGUAUCUAACCAGAAAGCCACGGCUAACUACGUGCCAGCAGCCGCGGUAAUACGUAGGUGGCAAGCGUUGUCCGGAUUUAUUGGGCGUAAAGCGAGCGCAGGCGGUUUCUUAAGUCUGAUGUGAAAGCCCCCGGCUCAACCGGGGAGGGUCAUUGGAAACUGGGAGACUUGAGUGCAGAAGAGGAGAGUGGAAUUCCAUGUGUAGCGGGGAAAUGCGUAGAUAUAUGGAGGAACACCAGUGGCGAAGGCGGCUCUCUGGACUGUAACUGACGCUGAGGCUCGAAAGCGUGGGGAGCAAACAGG
rnacentral:rRNA from 1 species